rnacentral:rRNA from 1 species
CAGCCGCAGACCUCUGUGCUAAGGUAGCAUAAUCAUUUGUCUUUUAAUUCAAGACUAGAAUGAAAGGUGAAACGAAUAAAAAAUUUAAAUAAUAUAAAACAAUAAAAUUAAACUUUUUGUAAAAAUGCAACAAUAAACUAAAAAGACGACAAGACCCUGUUGAACUUAACCAACGUUAAACUGGGGCAGUUUUUUAAUAAAAAUUUUAACCUAAAAUAUAAAAAACUACCUAACAAAAAAAAGAAACAGUUACCACAGGGAUAACAGCGCAAUUUUUUUCCAAAGCUCUUAUAAAAAAAAAA